GACAAUAUUUGAUCAGUUCAUUUACAGAACCAAGUGGGUUUUAGUGGAACCGCAUUACACGGUCCUGGUCUGAUCUCUCUGACAGAAUCUAAACAGCUGAUUGAGAAUCUUCAUCCAGAGCUGGAAGUGAGAGGAUGAGGAGCUGAGGCACUUCAAGAUGCGGGACCCCCGCAGGGAGGGAGGAGACCAGAGGAGGGUCAGCUGCUGCUGAAGGUCACGCUGAGGUGGUCCGCUUCCUGCUGGAGGCCUGUAAGGUCAACCCGGUCCCCAAGGACAGGUGGGGCAACACGCCGAUGGACGAGGCGGUGCACUUCGGCCAUCACGACGUGGUCACCAUCCUCAGAGACUACCACACCCAGUACAGCCCUCAGGAUGCCGCUGCCACCGCCGCGACUCGCAGAGCGCCGAGAAGAACCUGGACGGCAUGCUGUGACUUCCUGGAGGCUCCUUCAGUAUAAAAGCUCCUCAUCAUGUUUAUCUGUUCUGCCAGAUUGAAUGGACCGGUUCUGACCGAGCCGCAGUCAGAAGGGAUGAAUGUUCAGGUGGCAGGAAGUGUUACCACGGUAACGACCUUCACCAGAACCAGUAAGACCUGCUGGGUGAAGUUCUGGUCCAAGAUUCGGCUGAAUCCUGAAUAUUCUCCCUGCUGAUG